rnacentral:rRNA from 1 species
CAGGCCUAACACAUGCAAGUCGAACGAAGCCUUCGGGCUUAGUGGCGCACGGGUGCGUAACGCGUGGGAAUCUGCCCUUGGGUUCGGAAUAACAGUUAGAAAUGACUGCUAAUACCGGAUGAUGUCUUCGGACCAAAGAUUUAUCGCCCAAGGAUGAGCCCGCGUCGGAUUAGCUAGUUGGUGAGGUAAAGGCUCACCAAGGCGACGAUCCGUAGCUGGUCUGAGAGGAUGAUCAGCCACACUGGGACUGAGACACGGCCCAGACUCCUACGGGAGGCAGCAGUGGGGAAUAUUGGACAAUGGGCGAAAGCCUGGUCCAGCAAUGCCGCGUGAGUGAUGAAGGCCUUAGGGUUGUAAAGCUCUUUUACCCGGGAUGAUAAUGACAGUACCGGGAGAAUAAGCCCCGGCUAACUCCGUGCCAGCAGCCGCGGUAAU